rnacentral:rRNA from 1 species
GAAUAUUGGACAAUGGGCGCAAGCCUGAUCCAGCCAUGCCGCGUGUGUGAAGAAGGCCUUCGGGUUGUAAAGCACUUUUGUCCGGAAAGAAAUCCAAUCGAUUAAUACUCGGUUGGGAUGACGGUACCGGAAGAAUACGCACCGGCUAACUUCGUGCCAGCAGCCGCGGUAAUCCGAAGGGUGCAAGCGUUGCUCGGAAUCACUGGGCGUAAAGCGUACGCAGGCGGCGCGUUAAGUCGGGUGUGAAAGCCCGGGGCUCAACCCCGGAAUUGCAUUCGAUACUGGCGUGCUCGAGUGCGGGAGAGGGAAGCGGAAUUCCUGGUGUAGAGGUGAAAUUCGUAGAUAUCAGGAGGAACACCAGUGGCGAAAGCGGCUUCCUGGCCCGAUACUGACGCUCAUGUACGAAAGCGUGGGGAGCAAACAG